UACGUAGGGUGCGAGCGUUGUCCGGAAUUACUGGGCGUAAAGAGCUCGUAGGCGGCUUGUCGCGUCGGAUGUGAAAGCCCGGGGCUCAACUCCGGAAUUGCCUUUAAGACUGCAUCGCUAGAAUUGUGGAGAGGUAAGUGGAAUUCCGAGUGUAGAGGUGAAAUUCGUAGAUAUUCGGAAGAACACCAGUGGCGAAGGCGACUUACUGGACACAUAUUGACGCUGAGGUGCGAAAGCGUGGGGAGCAAACAGG
rnacentral:rRNA from 1 species